rfam:Triticum aestivum genome assembly, contig: Triticum_aestivum_CS42_TGACv1_scaffold_513372_6BS
AAUUUGCUGUGAUGAGAUCAAAGGACGGUAUCUGAGAAAGGUGUACUUUAUAAAGUCCUCUUUCCUUGAUUAUUCCUCCCAAACUGAUCAAAUUUUCUGAGCAACGA